UUACGGCCAUAUCACGUUGAAACACAGGUUCUCAUACGAUCACUGGUGUUAAGCAACGUUGAGUCUAGUCAGUACCUAGAUGGGUGACCGAUUGGGAAUAUCAGAUGUUGUAAG